UUGUUUUAAAGGUUAACACUGUAAUAAGAAAAUAAAACGACCACAUCAGCCUCACAGUCUUAACCAAGCAGCAUAAUGUUGAGUCUGAUUGUCCUACCAAUGGCACUCGGACUGCACUAACAAGUCUAUUUAUUUACAGACAACAGAUGAUGGCUGCUCCAAGCGGCCUUGGCAGUAAACAGGGAUUGUGAUUAAAAGACGAUGUUGUCAACGAACAUCUGGAUAAACCAGUGAGCCAAACCGCUUCUGAGAAGAGGAGACACUUUUUUCCGAAUAUAUUUCCUACUGAUAUUCUGCCACUGUGCAACAGUUUUGUUCAGCAGUGGAAGUAAAAAUCCAGCCAGGCAGCUGGUACUACAAAGUAGAAUUAAAAUGUGAAAUGUUACUGAGCCUUGGAGAACAAUUCUCUUUCUCGUGUGCCCUCCACCGCAAGAGCUCGCGGAGGUCACUGACAGAAUAGCUGUGAAACUGUUAGGAAUUCACCCACUUGCUCGAGGACACUCCAGUAGCAUGAUUGCUUCCCAGCGUGAGCAUUUGAACUUUAAACCUCCUGCAGAAGGGGCGCCGCUUUUAACCACUAUGUCAACCUGUUAAACACAGGAGACGUUGCCUUCAAGAACACUGGACAGCACUCUUCGACGUGAGCCGUCAGAUUGUAAAAGGACGGAUUAGUGACCACUGAACAUAAUGUUCUUAUCCUGUCUAUUGACUGUAGGGCAGGCACUGCACCUACUGACAGGACUGUGAAAAAGAGGAGAUGGACUGGGGUUGUUUGUUUGUUUGUUUUCUUUUUGACUACGAUUUUCUUCUCCAACCAUAUCUAAACUCAGGUGUACAAAAGGAGGUACUAUGAGACUGUCACCCUAACCUAGUCAACUCAAAAGCCCCUGGUAGUUGCCUUGGUUUGUUUUUAUGAAUGUAUGAGUGAAUGUGUAGACAGGAAAUGCAGCGCAGCAGCUGCUUGUGAAAGAACAAACAACACUGAUCAUCCAUCUGAAGCACAAGUCAUCCCACCCAUUUCUUAUUAAUUUCCACCCAAACUAAUGUUUUUCUUUCUCUGGAGCACACACACAGUAUAUGCAUCAUUCAAAGCUGCCUUCGUUUGUUUGAAUGUCUUUGAGUAGCAGAGAGGGACCGGCAAGGGUGGUGUCAUUGUUAUCUAAAUAUGUGUGAUUCUCUGUUGUGCACUAUGGAUUUCUGUUAGUCUGGACAUCCUGGAACCAAGUGGCCUUGGAUAGUCGUAUUUUAGUCGAUACUUAUUAAUGUGUAAAUGUAUCUAAGAGUGUAUACUAUAUUAAUCACCGCCCUUCAUUUCGGACGAUAUACUCACUGGUGUAUAUACGUGCACAGAGCAAAUGCAU